rnacentral:lncRNA from 1 species
UGAUGAACUUAUUUACUACAAGAUAUGACCUUUCUUUGUCCAGAGCUGCUUCAUAGCAUUUGUCAUCUCUGAAUUUCUCAGAGUGUAGAUUAGUGGGUUCAGCAUCGGGGUUACGACUGUAUAAAACACACUCAAUGGUUUGUCAAUGGGGAGGGUUUUAGCAGGUCUCACAUAUGUGAAAAUACAGGGAACAAAGAAAAAGACAACCACAGUGAUGUGGGAACCACAGGUCUGGAGGGCUUUCUGCCUCCCUUUGUGACUAAGGUUCUUUAGAGAGUGCAAGAUGACACCAUAGGAGAUGAGUAACAGGAGAAACACAAUAGUGCAGAUUAGUCCUCCAUUGGCCACCACUAAGACACCAAUGACGUAGGUGUCAGCACAGAUGAGUUUCAAUAAGGGGUACAUGUCACAGAAAAAAUGAUCAAUGACAUUAGGGCCACAGAAUGGGAGCCCAUAAAUAGUGCUAAGUUGAAUUAUUGAGUGCAGAAAACCUCCAACCCAACAGACUACCAGCAGCACGAUGCAAACCCAUCGCCUCAUGAUGACCAAAUAAUGCAAAGGCUUACAGAUGGCCACAUAGCGGUCAUAGGCCAUCACCAACAGAAUAAACACCCCUGAUCCACUAGAAAAAUGUUCUGUAAAGAGCUGGAUCAUACAAGAUUGGAAGGAUAUGGUACUUUCCCCAAAGAACAAGUCUGAAAUCAAUCUGGGGGUAAUGGAAGAGGAAUAAAUAGCAUCCAUAAUUGAUAGGCUGGCAAGAAAAAAGUACAUUGGGGAGUUCAGAGUCUUACUGAAACUUACAGUCACAACAAUGAGCAUGUUGCCCACCACAGUCAAAAUGUAAAAGAGCAAGAACAUACCAAAAAGGACUUUCUGCUCCUUUGGAUUCUGUGUGAGUCCCAAGAGGACAAAUUUGUAUGCUGGUUGCCUUCUCGCUUGGCUUCAGAUUCACAGCAAAAUGACCCUUUGGCCACGCACAAAGAACCUGUCAGGAGAAAAUCAGACCCACAAUUGGCUCAGCCCCAAGAACAUGGAGGCCCUGGACAAAUGUAUAUUAGAAAACCGGGAGACAGAGGUUCAGUAAUAGCCAAGGAGGUUGGAAAUCAUUCCAGUCCUCAAGAGCCUCUUAAAUGACAGUCAGCUUUCAAAACAUUCUUCACAACAGGAGGAUGCAGAGUACCAUUUCUUCUAAAUCUCACAAAAAGUUUAGAUUGAUGGAUAUUUCUGUUGUACUUUUGAAGACUCCAGUAAUAAAGAAUGUUCAUAAUAACUGACA